rnacentral:rRNA from 1 species
ACGGAAGGCAGCAGUGGGGAAUAUUGCACAAUGGGGGAAACCCUGAUGCAGCGACGCCGCGUGAGCGAAGAAGUAUUUCGGUAUGUAAAGCUCUAUCAGCAGGGAAGAAAAUGACGGUACCUGACUAAGAAGCCCCGGCUAACUACGUGCCAGCAGCCGCGGUAAUACGUAGGGGGCAAGCGUUAUCCGGAUUUACUGGGUGUAAAGGGAGCGUAGACGGCAAGGUAAGUCUGAAGUGAAAUGCCGGGGCUCAACCCCGGAACUGCUUUGGAAACUAUCUCGCUCGAGUACAGGAGGGGUAAGCGGAAUUCCUAGUGUAGCGGUGAAAUGCGUAGAUAUUAGGAGGAACACCAGUGGCGAAGGCGGCUUACUGGACGGUAACUGACGUUGAGGCUCGAAAGCGUGGGGAGCAAACAGGAUUAGAUACCCUGGUA